rnacentral:misc_RNA from 1 species
GAUGAAGAACGUAGCGAAAUGCGAUAAGUAGUGUGAAUUGCAGAAUUCAGUGAAUCAUCGAAUCUUUGAACGCACAUUGCGCCCUUUGGUAUUCCUUAGGGCAUGCCUGUUCGAGCGUCAUUUCAACCCUCAAGCCUUAGUUGCUUGGUGUUGGGAGCUUAUCUUGCCGAAAGGCGGACAACUCCUUAAAACUAUUGGCGGAGUCGCGGUGACCCCAAGCGUAGUAAAUUUUUUUUUUCUCGCUUUAGGUGUUAACGCUGGCUUUCUAGCCGUUAAACCCUCUAAAUUUUUAGUGGUUGACCUCGAAUCAGGUAGGACUACCCGCUGAACUUAAGCAUAUCAAUAAGCGGAGGA